rnacentral:rRNA from 1 species
GAUGAACGCUGGCGGCGUGCUUAACACAUGCAAGUCGAACGAUGAAGCCCAGCUUGCUGGGUGGAUUUGUGGCGAACGGGUGAGUAACACGCGAGUAUCCCGCCCUUUACUCUUGGAUAAGCCUGGAAAACUGGGGCUAUUAUCCGAUAGAGGCGUCCCCCCCACGGUGGGUGUUGGGAAGAUUUGGCGGUUUUGGAUGGACUCGCGGCCUAUCAGCUUGUUGGUGUGGUAAUGGCUCACCAAGGCGACGACGGGUAGCCGGCCUGAGAGGGUGACCGGCCACACUGGGACUGAGAUACGGCCCAGACUCCUACGGGAGGCAGCAGUGGGGAAUAUUGCACAAUGGGCGGAAGCCUGAUGCAGCGACGCCGCGUGAGGGAUGACGGCCUUCGGGUUGUAAACCGCUUUCAGUAGGGAAGAAGCGAGAGUGACGGUACCUGGUGAAGAAGCACCGGCUAACUACGUG